rnacentral:lncRNA from 10 species
CUUUUUUCUUUGCCCAGAACUUUUAAUUUAACCCUGACUUAAAAGGGUGUUCAGGGAGCAUCAUGCUAGAAAUCCCAAAUACGAUGAAAGAAUCCCACAACAGAGGUGAACAGAGGCCUGUUCCCAGGUUCAUCCCGGGAAGGUAGCAAGACAGCGCCCCCUUUGCCCAGCUCAGUGAAGGGCCGGGGCAGCUGAUGUGGCCUGCGCACAGGGUGAGGCAGCAAGGGUAAGAGCUUCCAGAACUCCAGGGAAGGCAGCGGAAGAGGGAAACGUUCACAGAGCACCAAGAGGGGCGCAAGGGAGCUCAACUCUACUGCCAGAACCUGCAGUCAGGGGAUUCUCAUGAGGACAAAUUAGAGCACCUGUCACUAUAGCCAGCACUCAAGAAAUGGGAUUAUCAUCAGAGGGAAAAAUGCACA